CAGAUUCUACCUUAUAGCAACAGUUUACUAUGAGAUGUGUUACAUCAGUCUCUGAACGGUUUUGGAAUUUUGGAGGGCUCCUCCUCCUUGGAUUCUAGAGAAAGACGCCUUUUUCACCUUGCUAUUUAGCAAGUUUUGGACUAAUUUGCACAAGAUGUUGUAUCCAUGUUCUAUUCCAAUAAAUUACAUGAAAUAUGAAGAAA